GUUCGGAUUUACUGGGCGUAAAGGGCGCGUAGGCGGUAGCACAAGUCAGUUGUGAAAUCUCCGGGCUUAACUCGGAAAGGUCAACUGAUACUGUGCGACUAGAGUGCAGAAGGGGCAACUGGAAUUCUCGGUGUAGCGGUGAAAUGCGUAGAUAUCGAGAGGAACACCUGCGGCGAAGGCGGGUUGCUGGGCUGACACUGACGCUGAGGCGCGAAAGCCAGGGGAGCGAACGGG
rnacentral:rRNA from 1 species